AGAACGAACGCUGGCGGCAUGCCUAACACAUGCAAGUCGAACGCUCUUGAGGCUUCGGUUUCAAGGGAGUGGCGCACGGGUGAGUAGCGCGUGGGAACCUGCCCUGUUGUGGGGGAUAACCGAGGGAAACUUCGGCUAAUACCGCAUGCGCCCGGGGAAACCCGGGGAAAGAUUUAUCGCAGCAGGAGGGGCCCGCGUCGGAUUAGGUAGUUGGUAGGGUAACGGCCUACCAAGCCUUUGAUCCGUAGCUGGUCUGAGAGGAUGAUCAGCCACACUGGGACUGAGACACGGCCCAGACUCCUACGGGAGGCAGCAGUGGGGAAUAUUGGACAAUGGGCGCAAGCCUGAUCCAGCAAUGCCGCGUGAGUGAUGAAGGCCUUAGGGUUGUAAAGCUCUUUCGCCCGCGACGAUGAUGACGGUAGCGGAGAAGAAGCCCCGGCUAACUUCGUGCCAGCAGCCGC
rnacentral:rRNA from 1 species